AUACGUAGGGUGCAAGCGUUAAUCGGAAUUACUGGGCGUAAAGCGUGCGCAGGCGGUUCGGAAAGAAGGAUGUGAAAUCCCAGGGCUCAACCUUGGAACUGCAUUCUUAACUACCGAACUAGAGUAUGUCAGAGGGGGGUAGAAUUCCGCGUGUAGCAGUGAAAUGCGUAGAUAUGCGGAGGAAUACCGAUGGCGAAGGCAGCCCCCUGGGAUAAUACUGACGCUCAUGCACGAAAGCGUGGGUAGCAAACAGGAUUAGAUACCCUGGUAGUCCACGCCCUAAACGAUGUCAACUAGCUGUUGGGCCCUUCGGGGCUUAGUAGCGUAGCUAACGCGUGAAGUUGACCGCCUGGGGAGUACGGUCGCAAGAUUAAAACUCAAAGGAAUUGGCGGGG
rnacentral:rRNA from 1 species